rnacentral:rRNA from 2 species
GGGUUGUGAGGUUAAGCGACUAAGCGUACACGGUGGAUGCCCUGGCAGUCAGAGGCGAUGAAGGGCGUGCUAAUCUGCGAUAAGCGCCGGUAAGGUGAUAUGAACCGUUAUAACCGGCGAUACCCGAAUGGGGAAACCCAGUGUGACUCGUCACACUAUCAUUAACUGAAUCCAUAGGUUAAUGAGGCGAACCGGGGGAACUGAAACAUCUAAGUACCCCGAGGAAAAGAAAUCAACCGAGAUUCCCUCAGUAGCGGCGAGCGAACGGGGAGGAGCCCAGAGCCUGAAUCAGCAUGUGUGUUAGUGGAAGCGUCUGGAAAGGCGCGCGAUACAGGGUGACAGCCCCGUACACAAAAGCGCAUAUGCUGUGAGCUCGAUGAGUAGGGCGGGACACGUGGUAUCCUGUCUGAAUAUGGGGGGACCAUCCUCCAAGGCUAAAUACUCCUGACUGACCGAUAGUGAACCAGUACCGUGAGGGAAAGGCGAAAAGAACCCCGGCGAGGGGAGUGAAAAAGAACCUGAAACCGUGUACGUACAAGCAGUGGGAGCACCCUUUGGGG